CCCUCAGGCAAAUUUGAAUUUAAGAGCCCAUGCCAUCCACGCCACUGCACCUGCCAAGGAUGCCAAGGAAACGAGCCUUCCAGCUGCUCCUCCCGUGGGGCAGGUGAGGGAGUCUGGUGCUCGCUCGUCCUUCCUUGGUUCAAACCUGUUCUCCCGCUGAAGCUUAUUUGGUUUGACUCAGAGCUUCAUCUCGGGGGACGAGGGGUUGCGAUUAGACAGCUGUUCAUUAGAGAGUGUGUACAACCUUGACGUUUCUGCCUGUUGACAGGACACAGGUUCACAUGAUUGUGGACACAGACUCACGGACCCUGAGGAGAUGAGAGAGGUGCUAAGAGCUGUCUUUCCAGAGAAGGAGAAAGAAACAGCAGGCAAACGUGAUGCAGACACGAGGUGGACAGUAAAGCUAAGACUGGUUGAGGCAUGGAAGAUCUGCACCUGGGCCUACAUUCCCCAAGUGGUUAGCUGGAGACCAGAGGUGGCUUCUCUCCAUUUCUCCAUGGUCCUCACCUUUCCCAGUUGUCUCACUGAUCCUGAGGCUGUCAGUUACCACCAUCAUCAUACUUACAUGGUUUUGCUGGUGGAGGAGAACCAUUUAUCUUUAUUCUUCUUGUAGUAAAACCCAGAAAAAUGAAAAACAAAUUGAGAGUAUCAGCCAUUUUCAGAAAAAU
rnacentral:lncRNA from 1 species